UUCCGGUUGAUCCUGCCGGACCCCACUGCUAUCGGGAUAGGACUAAGACGUGCUAGUCGUGUGCCUCAGCCAAAACGAGGCACGGCGCACAGCUCAGUAACACGUGGCUAACCUGCCCUUAGGACGAGAAUAACCCCGGGAAACUGGGGCUAAUGCUCGAUAGGUGAAGAACUCUGGAAUGAGUCUUCACUUAAAAGAGUCUGCGUUAUGCUCGUAGAUUUCGCUUAAGGAUGGGGCCGCGACCGAUCAGGUUGUUGGUGAGGUAAUGGCUCACCAAGCCUUUUACCGGUGCGGGCCGUGAGAGCGGGAGCCCGGAGAUGGGCACUGAGACAAGGGCCCAGGCCCUACGGGGCGCAGCAGUCGCGAAAACUUUGCAAUACACGAAAGUGUGACAGGGCUAUCCCGAGUGCCAUCCGCUGAGGAAGGCUUUUACCCAGUCUAGAAAGCUGGGGGAAUAAGGAGAGGGCAAGUCUGGUGUCAGCCGCCGCGGUAAUACCAGCUCUCCGAGUGGUGUGGAUGUUUAUUGGGCCUAAAGCAUCCGUAGCUGGCUAAGUUAGUCCCCUGUUAAAUCCAACGAAUUAAUCGUUGGAUCGCGGGGGAUACUGCUUGGCUAGGGGACGAGAGAGGCAGACGGUAUUUCCGGGGUAGGGGUGAAAUCCUAUAAUCCCGGGAAGACCACCAGUGGCGAAGGCUGUCUGCUAGAACGCGCCCGACGGUGAGGGAUGAAAGCUGGGGGAGCGAACCGGAUUAGAUACCCGGGUAGUCCCAGCUGUAAACGAUGCAGGCUAGGUGUUUGGACGGCCACGUGCCGUUCUAGUGCCGCAGGGAAGCUGUUAAGCCUGCCGCCUGGGGAGUACGAUCGCAAGAUUGAAACUUAAAGGAAUUGGCGGGGGAGCACCACAAGGGGUGAAGCUUGCGGUUUAAUUGGAUUCAACGCCGGA
rnacentral:rRNA from 1 species